AUGUGCUGCAUAGUCUCUUCCAUCAGAUCGGUCGAUUGGUUACAUUGGCUAGAGCAUAUACUUCUACAAUUAUACUGCCUGAGUUUGCUUGAUUCACUUGCGUGCUGGCGUGCACUUGACAAGUUGAGCCACAAUGGGGCGAUCUUACUGCUGUUUGAGACGCCCUCUGGCUUCGCAUUCAGUGGGAGGAGAUGUUCCCGUUGACGACGAGGCGCCUACGGUGACAAAAUCUGGGCCAAGUUUGUCAAGGACUAUAUGCCGCACAAAGUCAUUUGGCUACAAGAAUUCAGGAGAUUCAAGAACAAGGCCAAUGUAUUUAAUCAUACUGGUGUCAACAAAGAACUUGCAGAGAUGAUCCAAAGAUGGCACGCCCCUGGUCAGCUGCUAGCUGUUGGAAAGCCUGAGCACAAAGAAAUCAUUGAAGCAAAAUUGAAAAUACGCUGCAUGUAUAAUGAAGCUGUGUUGGAGGUCAUGUGGGGCAUACAAAAUCUCAUGAAGAGUUUAGUGCCUCUUGAAGACGCUUAGCUGAACAAGGAAGACCGGCUUCCCAUGAGUUAUGGGAUGAAAACUGUCCUCAAUCGUCAUGGAUUCGAUGUCACGCCGGAAAUGGUGAGAAUACCUUUCGCUUAA
rnacentral:rRNA from 1 species